ensembl:lncRNA
CGCAGAACCCGCGCGGAGAACGAACGCGAGCCCCUCCUCCACAGCCAGGUGCUCUGGACAUGCGCAGUCCGGGAUUCUCGGCGGGCCUGGCGCCUUCCCGGGCCGCGCGCGCGCCGCCUCUCGUGGAGCGCGGACAAGGUGACCAGCGCAUGCGCUAGAGGCCGCCAUGAGGAAGUCGCAUGGAUCCCAGAGUUAGAGGCGGACCUGGAAUUCCAGGACAGCCAGAAACCCUGUCUCCAAAACCAAACCAACCAAACAACCAGCCGACAACAAAGAAGCAUCCUGGUGUGAAGGAAACUGCUUAGGCAGUGACAGGCAGCAUGAAACUGCUUCUGGCUCAAGUCCUGGUGUGGCUGACAAUUAUUGGGACAUACAUGGCUGGUGCAGGCACGACGACAGUUCAAUGGAACUGAAGACCUGGAAAAGAAGGGUGAGAGACACUGGAGUGUAUGUGAGUGGGGUCCAAAACUAGGGUGUGGAUGUAGGAGAGAAAGGAUAGGAUCUUCCAUCCCAACUGUUAGCAUUUAAUCUAGGCUCCGCCCCACAGUUACCAGGCAACAGCCAGGUGUGCCUGACUCAGACACUCUGUCCUCCCCCUCCUCCUCUCUCCCUCUCCCCAUUCCCCUCCCCCAUCUCUCCACGUGCU